CGUAGCCAAUGACAAUCAUCCAUUUAAUCCCACGGAGAAGUACGGAAACGUGUAAACAAUCUAAUUAAUACACAAUCUAGGUCGUGUUGUGGUUAGAUGAAAUAAGAAACCAUGCAGGAAGGAGAAGUCAUCAAGUUUCCCCCAAUAAUUGAACUAAAUGUCGGCGGUCGUUUCUUCACAACAACACACUUGACACUUACCAAAUGCCCUGAUAACAUGUUGGCAGCCAUGUUCAGUGGCAAAUAUUCUGUGGUUCUUGACAAAGAUGGUCGGUAUUUCAUAGAUGCAGAUGGGGAUUGCUUUGUUCAUAUUCUCAACUACCUCCGUUACGGUGAUAUUCCAAAAGCAGCGAUAUCAGAGUACGUGUAUCGAGAAGCAGCCUACUUUGGACUGCAUGGACUGAUGCAAGAACUGGAAAAACACCCGCAAAUACUGGCAAAAAUACAAAGACAUAACCUCAGAAGUCAAUAUCCCGGAUAUUCAGACUGCAUGGAUUCAAUUAUAAAGUCAGCAGGCUGUCCUGCUACAAAGGAAACCCUUGAUGUUAAUGUUUUGUUGUUCAAAAACGAGAAUGAGCCCGGGCACGAUGAAUUCAACAUUAAUCACAUGUGUCUUUGCAAACUUCGGAACUUGGAUAAGACUGUGGCAUACGAUGCUAAGCUUGGUCCAUGGAAACAUGACAGUUCAGAAAAAGAUGUUUUGAAUUGUAUUGUAUAUGAUUUGGAAUCACUGGGAUUCACCAUCACCUCCAGAUACCUGGGAACCUGUAUAUAUCAACAUGAAACUAUUGAAUGCAAAAAAGCAUUUUAUGCCAUAACCUUCCAUUGGUGGAAGUGAUAUGUCUCACUUUUCAUCAAUUUAAGUACAACUGUAUCCUAUUAUAAAAUUGUUUCAAUAUAGAAAAAAAAAAUUGUUCCAUGAAAUAGUGUUUCAUUUAAUCACAUUUAGAUUUACAGGUAACAGUUUAUUUUUUCAUGUUACCUUUAUAAGUGGUAAAUAAUCUCUAUUGUUUGCCAUUUACAGAUUACCUGUAUUACUUAGAAAGUAUAUACAUGCAUAAUAGGGCCAUUAUGAUAUAAGAAGUAUUUAAAACAAGCUUAUUGUGUGUUUUGAUCCUUUGUCUCAAAUAAACCGGUGUUAUAAGGUCGUUCAAAAAUAUGCAUGAUAUUUUUAAUGCUUUACUGUACAUGUAUGUCUAUUUGUUUUGCAUUACUUUAUGUAUGUUAUCUUAUAACUAUUUUACUUUUUAUAUUUACCCAAACUUUUUAUUUUAUUUGAUUCUACCUCAUUUUGGAGAUAUAUAUUUCACCACUGUUGUUCAUUAUCAUAAAUAUUUUUUGCUCUUAAUAAUAUUGAUUUAAAUGAAAAUGUUAUUGGUAUUUGUUGAGUAUUUAUAAAUAAUAUGAUGGAUAUUUUAGUGAAGUUAGUGCAGCUGUUCUCAGAAAUGCUCUGAGAAUCAUGAAUUGAGAACAAACCGGUUCUCAGGGCUUUCAUUUGAUUCUCAUUUUAACUCUUUGACUCUUGUCUUUUUUUCGGCGUAAGCUGUAUUAAGCCAGCUUUUCACCCUGACUUGACCUUUGUAAGUGUCCAAUAAUACUCAAAUAAAAUUUCCCGCGGCUAGGUACGAAUGAAUACACUUCAUUUAUUCCAUUGGCUGAUUUGAGUAUAACACCAGAACAUUGGAAACAUAUCCGCAUCUUUGUAACACUGUUUUACUGCAUGAAACAAUUUUAUCUCUAAUGAAAAGGCUCAAUAGAUAGAACAGUUUUACAAUCAAUUUUCGACAUAAAUACAGUUUGUGCGUUCACCUUUUAUUUUCAGAGAAUUACCAGCGCAAAAGCGUUUAUACUAAAGGCUAUGUUGCCAUAUUUAGUACUUACUUGCAUUGCAUUUCAACCCGCGAGGUUUCGGGUCAAUUCGCGGCCAUUUGUGAAAAUCAGAGUUUAUAUACAGUUCAUCACCGGAGUUCGCAGAAGGGGUUGCGAUCAUUGUGUUACACCGGUCUUACUGACAAUAACGUAGUGACUGUAAUGCAUUGCAUUCCAAUCCGCAAGGUAUCAAGGUCAGUUUGCGGUCAGUUGCAGAAAUCUUUAUAUAAACGCCGUCUCGUAAACUUUGUGCACUUGAAGUCUGUUUUGAUCAGAAAGAUACUAAAUAAAGAUAUUCGGCGAUAUUAUUGUGGUAUGUCAAUCAUCGAUUUUUAAUAUGGUUUCAACAUUAGCAUGAUAAGGACCAAUUUUGAUAAAAUUAAUAAGAAAUAUUUAUCCAUUUAGACCAGUUUAUUAAGCAUGAGCACAAUAAUUCACUAUACUAUAAUUAUGCAAUUAAAUAAAAUUCGAGCCGGCUGACCUAUAUGCACUCGUUUAUUUUCAUGUUUCUUGUGUUUUUCCAUUCUGUAAAUAUAGAUAUCUGAGUAAUAAUAUCACAUAAAGCAAAAUAAGCCACGAAAUCUGGCGCAACAUCCCGUAAUUGAUUUGCUUAUGAUGUAGCUAAGAACUGCGCAGAAAAAAUGGCAUCCGCUACUUUUAUCUCAUAGAGAUAACUUUUGAUCGUUCAUAAACAUCGACCACAAUCAACGCCGUAUAUCUUUUUUAAAGAUAUUUCUUGUUUCUUAUAAUGAUAUUUUACUAUUUUAUUUUUCACUCAAAGAUUGAAAAAAGGAUAUGCACAGAUGUUGUUGUUUUUUUUCAAAAAUUUGAUAUUUUCAUGGAAUUAAAAGCUAACAAGAGAGUCACUUGACUCCUGACUUCUCUAAGUUAAUGCCCUGAUUAUAAAUCUGCUAGACAGGUUGAUACAUGUAAACAAUUUAAGUUAAUGCCCUGAUUAUAAAUCUGCUAGACAGGUUGAUACAUGUAAACAAUUUUCGCACUCAAGCUAAUUUUAGUAAGUUCAUACUUGUUAAAGAGAAGUUUCUUAGAGAUACUAUUUACAUGUUUUGUUUAUUUAAAAUAGUUAUAAUUUCUUACAAUAGUUGUGUUUCUGUCAGUCAGUGUAGGGAGGCGGAAAACUACAACGGGCGAGGCAUGGUAUGGUAUUGCGCAAGGGGGGGUUAGGGUUAGUGUUAGGGGUCGGGUUAGGGUUUGGGUUAGCCUAAACACAACCCUUACCCAACCCCUAACCCUUACCCUAACCCUUUUUUGGGGUUAUCACCCCUGACCAUGCCUCGCCCGUUGUAGUUUUCCGCCUCCCGUCAGUGUAGGGGGACUUUUGUACAUAUAUAUAUAUUUUGUUUUGUUCUUCAAACUUUACUAAAAAAAAUAAAGUUAAACUUGUGUUUACAGUUUUAAAUUUGAUUUUUACUUGUGAUUAUUCUUAGAGAUAUUAUCUUAUACAUGUUAUUUGUAUUAACAAUAUACUUAGAGAUAUUAUCUUAUACACGUUAUGUUUAUUUACAAUAGGUGUUUAUCAUGAAUGACAUUUUUCAUGUAGGCUUUUAUAUCCCUUUCAGCGCUGGAACCGAAUUUUGAAGGCCUUUGCAAACAGUUUGGAUCCAGAUGAGACGCCACGUAACGUGGCGUCUCAUCAGGAUCCAAACUGUUUGCUAUUCUGAUAGUAUUCUUUGAAAAAAAUCGAAGAAAAUGCUAAUUUUAGAAAUUCAGCAGAUAAAAGUUUUGCAGACGACAAAUUUCCCAGCAUGCAAAGGGAUGUACAUGUUAGUACACAGAUACAGACUUUUUCACAUUGUGGCAGUAUGCAUAUCUAAUCUAGAUAACGUUCUUACAUAAUGAAAAGAACAUUCCUUAUGAAUGUCAUGACAACAUACAUACAGGAAUGUCAAUGAGCAACAACAGCCUGAAUGCCAUUGUAGUUUAUAUAUAUGUAACUGUGUUUAAGAAAAAAAACACUAAAGUGCCUGUUGACCGAUUUUUGUUUUUAAAAAAAAUGUCAUUAUAAUAAUUUGCGUUCAUAAUUGUAAUAUUUGCAAUAGUUUCAAUAAUUAUAGGGAUUGAUCAAGAGCGAUAUAACAUGAUGCUGUGCCACGCUCAUUUUUGGUCUUCCUUCUAACCUUUUAGAUUGCUCAACAUAAAAAAUGUUACAAGCCACUUAUAUUUUAUGUAUUACUGAUAUUAGUAAUAGGCAAAUGAAUAAACCAUCUCGAUUGCAAGUGUUUGCCUGAUAGAUUCCUUAGAUUUAUCAAAGUAUUCCAUAAUGUCAUUAGAAUGAUCUGGCUUUCCAGCCUGCCCCCUUUCAGCAGCAUGCAUUUUCCUUUUUUGAUCCUACUUAUUUUAAUGACAAAAUAUUUAAAAUACUAUGAGACCUCAUGAAGCAAAAACUAACAUGUUCUGACUCAAUCUGACUUCACGGCAGGCUUUUGAGGUUGGAGUUUCAAACACUAUAAUUAUUAUACAUAUUCUUGAUAAAUGUACACUAAAGAUCUUUAGAAAUAUGAUAUUAUUUUUCUGAUUUCUGUUGAUGAUUAACAAUUAACCGAAUUGAGUAAAAAAAAUAAAUACUUUUUUCUUAGUCAAGAGUAUUCUUGUGCUUGUUAUAAUGUAUACAUUUUUUAAUUCUAUGACAAUUUGUUCAUUUUUCCAAUCUACAAAAAAUCCCUUUAAAAGCAGAUUGUUGUUUUAAUCAAUAUUUAUGUUUUAUUCUGUUAUGGCAUGCAUUUUGUAACGAAUUUAAGUGUAUUUAAAAGACCGUAUUUCAACCAGUUAGUACUAUUGUAAAAACGGAUAGAUCACAGAUGGGUGCAGAUGAAAUAAAAGAAAAAAAAUUCCUAGAGGCUAAAUUUAGUUAGACAUUUUGAAUUUAGAACAGUGUCUAUAACUGUGUUAAAUCCAUUAAAAAUCUAAUUGAAAUCUUGAUCCAAUUGUUACUGUCAUUGAUGAGUACCCAUGCACAUAACUGUUGUCAAUAUUUUGUUAACUUUAUAGCAUUUAUUGUAUGUCUGCUAGAUGAAUUCCUUUUGAUAUGGGCUUUUGCAACAGUUUAUACGCAUUGUUUAUGGUUGUUUGAUUAACAAAAACAAUUUUAUGAAUAUGCA